rnacentral:misc_RNA from 1 species
CAACUGCGAUAAGUAGUGUGAACUGCAGAAACCUUGAACACAGAACAUUCGAAUGCACAUUGCGCCAUUGGAGAUACAUCCUUUGGCACGCCUGGUUCAGGGUCGUAACCCUAAAAAGCACAAGAGUGCUUGUAAUUGCUGCUUGAUCAGUCCGUGCGCCCAUACGGAUGCUGUUCUUGCAUUGGUGCGAAUGCGCCUGGAUGGUGUCGAGUGCGCUGGCGUGGACAUGUGCAAAAUUGCGUCCAUGUCCUACCGAUGAGUAGCUUGAGUGUGGCUUGGCCCUUUCUGGGUAGCUUCUAGCAAAACUAUCAACAUUUCGACCUGAACUCAGACGUGGAUACCCGCUGAACUUAA